rnacentral:rRNA from 1 species
GACCGCGGUUAGACGAGCGACCCAAGCUGAUUGCCUCCGGCGUAAAGCGUGGUUAAGGGAUAAAAAAUAACUAAAGCCGAAUGCCCUCAAGGCUGUUAUACGCAUCCGAAGGUACGAAGCCCCAUCACGAAAGUGGCUUUAAUUCUCCCCCUGACUCCACGAAAGCUACGCAA